rnacentral:rRNA from 1 species
ACUGUUUGGCACCUCGAUGUCGGCUCAUCGCAUCCUGGGGCUGAAGCGGGUCCCAAGGGUCCGGCUGUUCGCCGGUUAAAGCGGUACGUGAGCUGGGUUUAGAACGUCGCGAGACAGUUCGGUCCCUAUCCACGGUAGGCGCAGGAGAUUUGAGGGGGGCUGUCCAUAGUACGAAAGGACCUGGAUGGACGAACCUCCGGUGUACCAGUUGUCCCGCCAGGGGCACCGCUGGGUAGCUGCGUUCGGUUGCGAUAACCGCUGAAAGCAUAUAAGCGGGAAGCGCGCCCCAAGAUUAGAUCUCCCUCCCGCAAGGGCUGAAGGGCCCUCGUAGACUACGAGGUUGAUAGGCUGGACGUGUACGUGUGGUGACACACUCAGCGAACCAGUACUAACCGCCCGUGAGGCUUGACCAU